GCUUUUGGGUUGGAGUAUGUCAUUAGAAUAUAAAGACUUCCUCUCUGGUGAAGUUUUUGCUUCAUUUUUACGUUUUAGGAUCUUCCUAGCCUAUUUGAUUGCAUAAUCAUUUUAUUUCCUUUUUCACCUUAUCUUCCAUUGGCAUUUUGUGUAAAUUGCGCAGCUUCAUGAUCAAGUUGUAGAAAAGUUUACUUGCAUACCAUCUCCAGGAAUCUAGCACAUCUAAUACUUUCACUUUGGUUCUCAGUUGUUUCUUUCAAAAGUUGCUCAUUCAAUUCUGGGACGAGUACAAAUGACAGAAAGUUGUUAUUUUUGGUUAAGUUAAAAUAUGUAUUUAUCGGAAUCAUGGAAGUUCAAGUUCAUGUUUCGAGAUUCUACAAUACUAAUUUUAGUGUUUUAUCUAUUUAUUAUGAAUUCCUUGACAGUGAACAAGUGUCAAAGUUUACACUGUUAGACAAAUUGUAAAUACAAUUUUUUAUAG